rnacentral:rRNA from 1 species
AGCAAUAGCUACUUGCAUCAUUGUAAAUAUGAUGCAAGAUCGACUAUGUCGAAUAAAAUUCUAGGUAGAAUUAUGAUAAUGACAUUGUCUGCCUAUGUGUCUUGACCAAAUUACGUGCCAGCUGUCGCGGUAAUACGUAGAAGACUAGUGUUAUUCAUGUUUAAUCGGUUUAAAGGGUACCUAGACGGUAAAUCAAGCCUAAAAAGAAGGAAAUAAAGGGACUAAUUUACUAGAGUUACUUAUGAGGGGGUAUUAAAGUACUGCUGGUGUAGAGAUGAAAUUCUGUCAUACCUCUUUUCAAUAGAAAAAUAAUGGCACAGGUAUAGGCGAAGGCAUCCCCUUAUGUGAUAACUGACGUUGAGGGACGAAGGCUUUGUGUAGCGAACAGGAUUAGAUACCCCAGUAGUCAAAGCAGAAAAUGAUGAAUGUCAUAGAUUAGAUAUAUAAGUUUAUUCUAUAAAUGAAAGUGUAAGCAUUCCACCUCAAGAGUAAUUUGGCAACAUUGGAACUGAAAUCAUUAGACCGUUUCUGAAACCAGUAGUGAAGUAUGUUGUUUAAUUUGAUAAUCCGCAAAAAACCUUACCACAAUUUGAAUAUUUAUAUUUUUUUUUAUUGUUUUUCUUUUUAAUUAUCUUCCGAUUUUCUAGUUAAAGGAAAACUAGAAGAAAAAGAAAAAAAAGGCAAUAAGA